rnacentral:rRNA from 1 species
GGAAUAUUGGACAAUGGGCGGGAGCCUGAUCCAGCCAUGCCGCGUGCAGGAAGACGGUCCUAUGGAUUGUAAACUGCUUUUAUACGGGAAGAACCUGGGGCACGUGUGCCCCUCUGACGGUACCGUAAGAAUAAGGAUCGGCUAACUCCGUGCCAGCAGCCGCGGUAAUACGGAGGAUCCGAGCGUUAUCCGGAAUCAUUGGGUUUAAAGGGUCCGUAGGCGGGCCAUUAAGUCAGGGGUGAAAGUCUGCGGCUCAACCGUAGAAUUGCCCUUGAUACUGGUGGUCUUGAGUUAUGGUGAAGUAACUAGAAUAUGUGGUGUAGCGGUGAAAUGCAUAGAUAUCACAUAGAAUACCGAUUGCGAAGGCAGGUUACUAACCAUAUACUGACGCUGAUGGAGCGAAAGCGUGGGGAGCGAA